UACAGAGACUGCAAGCGUUAUUCGGAUUCACUGGGCUUAAAGGGCGCGUAGGCGGGCUGCCAAGUUUGGGGUGAAAUCCUCCGGCUCAACCGGAGAACGGCCUCAAAUACUGGCGGUCUCGAGGGGGGUAGGGGCAUGCGGAACUAUGCGUGGAGCGGUGAAAUGCGUUGAUAUGCAGAGGAACUCCGGUGGCGAAGGCGGCAUGCUGGACCCUUUCUGACGCUGAGGCGCGAAAGCCAGGGGAGCAAACGGG
rnacentral:rRNA from 1 species